AAUCAGGCUAUCCAUCCUAACCUGCUUAUCCUGCCUUGUCUUGCCUUUCCCUAAGAUACCUCAGAAAACCUUCUGCCCUGCUCCUUCUGCCUCCUGACUGACGCUGGUGCUGUCCUGAGGCACAGAGUACUCUCUCCUCUUGGGAACUAGUAAUCAAAUAUUUAUGAAGCACUCUCUAAAUAUCAAGCGAAGUGCUAAGACCUGCAAAUAAAGUGUUCCAGGCAGAGAAGAGGACUCUAUCCUGCUUUCUGCAUUUGCUUUGCUAUGAACUGAAUUUUAUCUCCCACCUUCAAUUCAUAGGCCGAAGCUGUAAAGGCCAAAGUGACUGUAUUUGAAAAUAGGAUCUGGAGGAGCAUCAUGGCUAGCGUCUGGGCAUCGGAAUGACCACUUGGAGAGAGAAGAUCCAUUGAGCUAAAAAUUGUUUCUCUGUCAU